GACGAACGCUGGCGGCGUGCUUAACACAUGCAAGUCGAACGGAAAGGCCCUGCUUUUGUGGGGUGCUCGAGUGGCGAACGGGUGAGUAACACGUGAGUAACCUGCCCUUGACUUUGGGAUAACUUCAGGAAACUGGGGCUAAUACCGGAUAGGAGCUCCUGCUGCAUGGUGGGGGUUGGAAAGUUUCGGCGGUUGGGGAUGGACUCGCGGCUUAUCAGCUUGUUGGUGGGGUAGUGGCUUACCAAGGCUUUGACGGGUAGCCGGCCUGAGAGGGUGACCGGCCAAAUUGGGACUGAGAUGCGGCCCAGACUCCUACGGGAGGCAGCAGUGGGGAAUAGUGCACAAUGGGCGGAAGGCUGAUGCAGCAACGCCGCGUGCGGGAUGACGGGCUUCGGGUUGUAUACCGCUUUCGCCUGUGACGAAGCGUGAGUGACGGUAAUGGGUAAAGAAGCACCGGCUAACUACGUG
rnacentral:rRNA from 1 species